rnacentral:lncRNA from 1 species
GUGUUACAAGAGGUCAUUUAGUACUUCUCAUUGUGAUACACUGUAAAUUUAUUUGAACAGUAAAAAGUCUUACAGGCUAAAUAUAUCACUUUAGAAAAAAGUUUAAAAGAUGACUAUUUCUUUAAAAUUCGGUAUAAUCUUCUUAACAAUCGUUCCAGUAGUGUUAAAGGGUUCUGGAAAUAUUACAGGGACUAUUCACGGAAAUCUGAUGAAAUAUUGUCUUUUAGUUUUAAUGGUCAGGAUAUUCUACAUAAAGAAGUGGCCAAUGCAUUUAAUAAUUAUUUUAGUGAUAUUUGUCAGUCUAAUGGUG